rnacentral:pre_miRNA from 1 species
AUGUAGGGCAAUCUGUCUUUAAGUAGGGAUAAAUUACUCUAAAACAAAACAAAUCCUAGUUUUCCCUUUAAGUUAAGCAUCUUGU